rnacentral:rRNA from 1 species
GAUGAACGCUGGCGGCGUGCCUAAUACAUGCAAGUCGAGCGAACGGACGAGAAGCUUGCUUCUCUGAUGUUAGCGGCGGACGGGUGAGUAACACGUGGAUAACCUACCUAUAAGACUGGGAUAACUUCGGGAAACCGGAGCUAAUACCGGAUAAUAUUUUGAACCGCAUGGUUCAAAAGUGAAAGACGGUCUUGCUAUCACUUAUAGAUGGAUCCGCGCUGCAUUAGCUAGUUGGUAAGGUAACGGCUUACCAAGGCAACGAUGCAUAGCCGACCUGAGAGGGGGAUCGGCCACACUGGAACUGAGACACGGUCCAGACUCCUACGGGAGGCAGCAGUAGGGAAUCUUCCGCAAUGGGCGAAAGCCUGACGGAGCAACGCCGCGUGAGUGAUGAAGGUCUUCGGAUCGUAAAACUCUGUUAUUAGGGAAGAACAUAUGUGUAAGUAACUGUGCACAUCUUGACGGUACCUAAUCAGAAAGCCACGGCUAACUACGUG